AAAGAGAAAGAGAAAAGAAGAAGAAACCUUAAAUCUUCCUCUUCCUCCAGCCGCCGCCACCGACGACAAACGCUGUGGUGUGAGUAGCCAUCGAGUUGGUCCGUACGCCUUCCUCAUUCACAGAUCCGAGUCGAAGCCACGACGUCUCGUUGCUCGCCGUCGCAAGGCAAAUCAGCAAUCUUCAUCUUCAACCGCGCCGACUCGCAAUCCGCCGCCGCCUUUCGCCGUUCGUCUCCGUCGUCCCGACCCGCGCCUCUCUCCGCAAAACCAAAUCCGACCCGCGCCUCCAGCUGUUCUGCAUCUCCAGUCGUCCGUGCGCUCGCGUGAAGCCAAGCCGCCAGCUGCAAGCCGCACGCGCGUCCUUGCAGGCCGCACACGAGGAAGCCGAGUCGUCCCCAACCGAGCACGCGUGCGAGCCGUGCGCGUUCCCUCAAGCCGUGCGCGUCUGUCCGAGUCAAAUUCUCUAUUUCUAGCCGACCCGCCAACCAUUUUUUAGCCGCCAACCCUAUUUUUUGUUCUUUCCCACCUAUUUUUGGAGCGUGGGAUUUAUUCAGUUAAGGGCUCAAGCGUUGCAACCUCGACUUAGAACUCGUUGCUUGGAAAGCGUGACUUUGCGGUUAGAACUCGUUGAGCUAAUCCCCAGGUAAGAGAUUCACUACUAGACCUAGGAGUAGAGUUAAGAGGUUGCAUUUAUUCUUGAGUUGUGCAUAUUGAUAACUAAAUUGUACAACGGUAUGGUAAUUAAUGAGGAUAUGAUAUGACAUAAUGAUCUGAUGAUGUGAUACGAUAUGACAUGACAUGACGAUAUGAUUUGACAUGAUGAUAUGAUGUAACAUGAUAACGUGAUGAUGCUAUGUUACGUGUAUGCUAUGGUUAGGGUGCAUGUUAGCUUAUCCUAUUAAAGUCGUACCUGCAUGGGUGUCCUUCGGGAUCACUACCUAUUUAGGACUGCGUAGUUCGACGGGACCGCCAGUCUGGCAUUGAUAUAGACAUGAUUCGAGUGGUUCGAGGGGAUUGCUCACAGCCCGAUUGUCUUAGUGUUUUCUUCAGGUACACUACAGACCAGUUUGUCCUAGGUGUUCCUUUGGGUUCACCGAAAACCAGUUAUUGUUCCUUCGGGAUCACAUGAUGCACGUGUUCGGGAACGUGCCAGUUCUUGGGCAGGGGCAGAGGUAAGGGCAAGGGCAAGCUGGCGAGCGACCAGAAGUGACCGUGGCGAGCCAUAGAGAUCUCUUGCUUCCGCUUGAUAUAUGAGUUCAGACCUUAAAUGUUUGCAUUUUAGUUUAAUCCUUAUUUGUUAUUUUAUUUCUUUAAAAUUAGAUAGGGCCCGAGUUAGGAUUUUAUUUUUAUACAUAUCUCAAAUUACUUUUGA